UCAAUGGUUGCAAACAAGUAGACUACAAAUUCGUUGAUGUAGAAAAAAACAAGAAUUUCAGAACUUAUAUCGUUCACACAAAUUAUAACACUCACAUAAUUAAAAAUUUAAGAUAUAUUUAAAGAUUAAUUGCACUAAUUAACAACUAAAUAUUAAUCCACAAAAAGCACGGAUUUCUCGAUAGGCGUGACUCAGCCAUCUUGUUCUACUAACUUCGAAAUCAAAAUAGUAUUAAAUUUCCAAAUAUAUAUAAUUAUUAAUUGAUUUGAAUUUUACUUAUAAACUAUUAAAUAUUUAUAAAAUAAAAAUAAUUAUUAACUUUAAACCAAUUAUUUUAAUUUAUUAAUUGAAUAUUUUAAUAUCGUUAUGUAAUUAAGUAUUGAAUAUGACAUACAUUUACAUGACGUGUACAUGGAAAUAGAAUACGUUCGUCAAAAAAUUUCAAGACAUAUCUAUGUUGUAUAAAAAUAAUACGCAAUAAUAUUUACAAAACGAAAUAGGUGCAUAUUUUAAUUUUAAAAUUCUAAUUAAAAAUUAUAAGGAAAAAUUAAAAUUAAAAAACGAUAAAUCUUAACUUUUAAAUAUAUAGUAAUUUCAUUUAGCAUCUGUUUUGACAAACGAAUAUCAAGAAGCAAACGAAGCAUCUGUUCAUAACCUGUGUUGUUAUUCAUAAUUAUUAUUUUUUUUUUAUUUAAGCUUAUUUAAAAUAUUAUUUAUAUAUAUAUUAUUAUAUUUAUCAUUAUUUUUCUAUAGUUUCGUAAUCUUGUUCUAUUUUAUCCCGGUUUUAUUCUACUUGAAAACAUGAUUGAAAUCUCGUCAAAUAUCAAGGAGAAAAAAUUUCAUCCAUUCUCGAAACAAAUACGAUCUUUGUCAAAUAUCAUUCCGAAGGAUCGCAAACGAAAAAGGAGAAACAUAGGAUAACCAGAAGCAGGGGUGAUCGAUUAACUUGGGCUCGCUACCAGUUAGUCAGUCAAUCAUUAGGUAAUGAGGCCGUGUUUGGAAGCCAGCGUAACUGGACGUCGAUUGUCCGUAUUAAACGUAUUGCCGUCCGCAUAGAAUAGGGCUGCCGAUCUUAUCGUCACGGUUUCAUGUAAUGCUAAUGGACGCGUGGUAGCCCAAUAUGUACUUUAAACGAAAAGGUUAAUAUGAUAGCGAGAUAAUGCGCGGACAUUAAGGAGCCGGACGAGGAACGGCGGACAAAUUAUGAAGAGAACCGUCUCGAAGAAACGAGAUCUCGUUUGCUGAACCCUUCAAGUGGAAUUGGAAUUUUUUCUCCCCAUUAAAAAUAUGAAGUUGACAAGUUUUUCAACUUCGCGAGGACGAUAGCGAAGCUGCGGAAUGAAAUAUUUAUUGAAACGAAAUAUUGAAGGUUACCUCACGGCCAAAUCCAAAUUUCUUCAAUUUCCCAUUUGUUAUUUAAAUUGGUCAAGAAACGAGAUGGAGUAUUUCGAGUAGCGUGGCAUCGAAGUUGGGGAAAAAGGAAGCGGACAGGGGCGGUUAGCCGGUCCGACAAAGGACGAGGAUCCCUGAGGAGGCACGGCACGAGUGGGUCAGUGACGUCGGGCACGGGACAGCUUGCAUAUCGAGGGAUCAAGGAGGGGAGCAGGGAGACACCGGGCCCUCCUCGAAUGAUCUUGACUCGAGGGAGAGAGAGCGAGUGGAUCGAGGCGUUGGCGCGAGCGAGAGACGCGGCUGGGCCGCGGGCGAGUUGUAUAAUAUGAACGCGGCGGGCCGCGGCGCAGUUUCGGCAGGCUAUAAUCAAUUCUGAUUGCAGUCCAGCAUCGCAGCGCGAUCCACCGGCCCGAUAGCUGAGAAAAAAGUUCGCGCUUCCAACUACCGGGCUGCCCAACGUACCAACCACUCCGAGAGGAACGAACCGGCGGGGUGUAACGGCGGUUAGGGUGGAGAGAGUGGAAAAGGGAAAUUGGUCGGAGAGAUGGAGCGGAGGGUGUGUGAAAGAAAAAGAAGAGAAAGGAGGAAGGAUAUUGGAGGAGGAGAUUGGGAAAGGGUAAAAAGAGAUAGGGGAUGAGGUGUGAAGAAGUUGGUAAAAUGGAAAGAAGUAGUGGAUUGAGAGAAGGGUACAUAGAAUAGAAAUGAAAUCAAAAAUUUGGAGAAAAGAAAGGAUGUCCGCCUCUCAAGCUUAAAUAUCGGUACAUAUCAUUCGACUCCUGGCGAAACGUCGCUUCGGGAUAUAAUUUCUGAACGGACAUCUUUCAUACUCGGAAGCCUCGCAUUAAAACAUAUCCCAAAAUGUGCACGCCUGCUCCAAAAGUAUAGAUUCUCGAAAGAGAGAUGGAACAGGAGGAAGAUGGCAAGAGAGACGAAGCAUCGACUCGAUAAAAACGCAACCGAGUUAUUUUAUUUAUCGGUUGGUCGGCAGCCAGCCUGGCUACGCCUUCGAAGUCUCGCGAGCUAUCGUUCGACACACGCGGGAAGGAAAGAGGAGGAGGCGAGGAGAAGUCCGAGGUCCAGGCGAGGCCGGGUCCGAGUCUGUUCGGUUCUCCUCCGCCGUGCAAUGGUUCGGGGAACGGCGGAAGAAUGCAUCCAUCGGUUGUGCAUCGGUGCAACAGCAACAACGGCACAAGAGACGCGCGCUUCUUACGAGACAACCCCUUUUUUCCUCGUCCCUUCUUCCUUUCUCUCGCGCUCCAGACUACGCUCGUUCGUCCGCUCUUUUUCCACGCUACGAUUCUUUUUCUCUUUCUCUGGACGGUGUGUCGCGCGAGCGUCCGGCCCCAUUAGCAGUUGGACGAGCCAUCAUUCAAUAACGCUCUCAAUGCCUGUGCGACCGUGUCUCUCCCGCGCGCACACUGUCCAUGUGUGUCAUCGUGCGACUGAUAAUCGUGCACCAGUUUCUUUCAACUGGCUGCGACAGUAUGCAGCGACGAUUGAAAAUUAGAAAUCGUUGAUGCGUUUGAUAGCAUACGUGGGACGUGGCAAAAUUUUUUAACCGAAAAAUGUAUUUUUAAUCCUUUGCGAGAUAAUAAGAGAUGAGGAAUUCGAAACUUAGAAAAUAAUUAUUCUUUCGUUAUCUUUCGUUAUUCUUAUCAUAUAUCAUCUUAUUAUUAUAUUUUCUAUCAUAUUAUUUUUAAUUUCGGUUAACUCUGUAACUCUAUGUAACUAAUAUGUUAUUUCAAAAAUUUUAGGUAAUCAUAAAAAGGACAAUUAAAAAGUAACAUAGUACAGACUUUGAGGAUCGUAAAACGUAUCAUCGCUUCGUGAAACGAACAUUAAUUAGCGGCACCUUACCGUUAAGUUUCUUAUACGUAUCAAGAAAGAACUUCAAGCUCGAUGAUGCAUCGCAAAGAUAUUAAACCAAACCAUCUCUGGUUUGUCCGUCAAUCUCCAGACAAACUGUCAGAAGACCCGUAUAUACACACUGAAGAUCUGCAAUUUAAGUCGGCCAGACUCGACUGACAAUACUAAGGCGCGAUUGACGUUGGAAUUAUAUACGUCGGAUUACAAUUUACAUUUCCUAUCUUAAUUUGCAUUUAAUAAUUAAACACAUAAUACGUUCGUGAGAUAUGUUCUUCGAGUAUAAUCGAUUAGAUGAUAAAAUUAAAAUAAUUUUAAUCACGAGCGAUUAAUAAUUAUUUCUAUUUGUUAUUUUCAGUUUUUCUUUAAUAAUUCCUACAUUUUAUAUUGAAAAGAUAUUUAUAAUUAUUAUAAAAUAUAUUUAUAACUAUUUUACCAUAUAGUACAGGAGUUUUUUUUUUUAAAUUGAUAACUUUAUUAAUUUAAUAAAUAUCGUUGUUCAUAUAAGAUGCAAAGGACGAACAGAGCGAUUAAUUUUCAUUCGAACAAAGCGACGAUGGUUUUGCGGUCAUUCCCUCUUAUUGCGGAUUCAAUAUCACGCGUGCACACGCGUGAUUUAUAAUACUGAUUAAAUCCUUCGUAUUUAUCAUUUUGCCACUGUCGGCACGUGUGUAACCGGUUCUCGCUCGCGUAGCUUUUCGACAAAUUUCGUGAAAACAGCUAACGAACGAUUUCGCGGAAUCACGAUAUGACAAUUAAGCGUUUUAUUAAAUAAAAUUUAUAUCGGUAAUACCGGUAAGAAAAUUUUAUAAUUUUUGUUAAAAAUAUUUAAAAGAUCUUUAAAAUUAUUUAUAUAAUAUAUCCAUGUUGAUAUUAAAUAUUUAACAUUUUCCAAGAAUGCUUAUCUCGAAUAAUAUCUUUUCAAUUACUCGUUAAAACAAUUACGAUAAUAUAGAACGAGACACGAGUCAUGGUUGUUUUUCUCGUUGCUUAAUCGAAUUUAUUUAAAAUGUACAGCUUACAGCCGCGGCACAUUUCGACAUCCGGCCACGCUUCUGAGUAACAUCAUUAUCGAUAAGAUCAAAGAAACCCGGUCUACUGGAGUUUUCAGUGGAAAGUAACCUGUCAAGUCGGUCAGUAGCGCUACAUGUUUCUACGACAAUGAAGUGUCGGACGAGUGUAACUUUAGAUGUACUCUUAAAUCCUCGAGAACGUAGAAAAGAGGCAAGUAAGAGCUUUAAUAUCGAUAAUUUUCGAUCAAACACGCGUAUAAAUUUCAUUGAAUUGUAUAAUUUUAAAAUAAAUAGAAGAAGUAUUCUACGAUAGGCCAUUGCGUGUAUCCUCUUAAAUUUUGUAAAGAAGAAUUUUUACAUUGUGCUAGAUUAUUAAAGAUUACACCACGGUCUUAAAGGGCUCUACAUUAGGAUAUUACAAUUAACUUUAACGAACUUCAUCAUAUCUUGACCUACUUACAUCUUACCACCAGCACAACUAGAACGAUGAUUAACGAUCUCGAAUGGACUAUAAUAAUACUCCUUCUGAUACUUAAUCGCGCUAUUUCUCACUCGCAACAUGUUAAAUAACCUGAAGUCUAAACGAGGUGUCUACCUAAAGUACAGUCUGUUAGCGUAGUUACUAAUUCUACUGAUUGCGUUCACUUUCAAUUAACGUGCGUAACUUAUAUGAUAAUUCAUUUAUUCGAACGCUGGAAAGAAAAGGAAAAAAUUCAGGUAUUUAAGUUUUCAAAUAUUUAAAACUUAAAUAUUUAAAUGUGGGAAUAUUCGAAGAUUUAAACACGCAAACAUUCGAACAUUUCAAUAUUCAAACAUUCCAAGUGCUUUCUAAAUUUUUAGACAUUUUUAAAAAAAUUUGAAAUACUCCAAGUUCUCAACGAUCUCUAUCGAAAUUUUCCAAAUUGCAAAAUUUUUCCAAAUUCCUCGUCUCGACGAUCGAAACGAUGAAUCAGCGUAACGGGAUUUCUAUCCAAUUCAAAUUUUCAGAUAUACUUCGGAUGAUUCCAAUCAUUGGCCAACUGUGCUCCAAACAGUGAUACUGUACGCGUGCGUACACGAGACACGAUAAAUCCAAUUAGGACGAGCACGAGCAGCAACGAUUAUCGGAACUGUUUAAUCUAAUGCAAAUACCGGACGAUUGCAUCUGUCAAUAAAGGUUCGAGGCCGUCUUGAGUAGCGGCAGCUUCGAGUAUACUGACAGAAGUACUCGAGCGACGACACGGCAACAAGUGGUGCUCGACGCACCGCUAGGUCAACACAUCUCGUCCACCUCUCGUACUCUCGUUCUCGUACGUCUCGUACGAAGCUUCUUUUCACCGAGCAACUUCUGUGACAUUAUACUUGGAGCACCACUUCAAUCUAUCCGUCAAAUAUAGGGCCGAGGAGUACACAACGGAAAAGGCAAAUGUUGUCCGAGUUCUCUGAAGACGCUUUACCUCGAAUCAGCGAUCCGUAUCACGUUUCGAGAGAUUAAACAACAUGAUAGUUGCAUCGAUGAAAAAAAAAGGAGAAACAUGGUGGUCAGCAGAGAACGGAGGAGAAAGGAGCCACGCUCGUUAUUUCGAGCGCCUGGGCUGCUGGAUAAUUGAUAGCGGAAUGCUAAUAACUUGGACGAGCCAUGGAUUAUAAUAAGUUUCUUGCGUAUAUCGCUUCUUGCCUUCGUUCGCUGUUGUUAUAAACGUGUCACAGACGAUCAGUUUUGUCAGUUUAUCACACCGAUCUUAAUUAAUUGGUUCAGGAAAUCUAGGUAAAUGAAAAUAAAUAAAAAGACAAUUUUUCGUGACAUAGUUGAUAUGCAUUAAGAUUCUUGACAUUGAAUUAUAUGAUUUAAAGUUUAUUUAAUUUAGAAAACAGCUAUUGUAAUACUUGUCACUGAGUCGUUUCAGAAUAAAGCUGUUUUGGAAAUUCUGCAGAUUAAAUUUAGAAUUGCAAAUUUAGAAUUUAGAUUUUAUUUCGAAAUUGUUUGAAAAGGAAGUUUAAAGUUUAUGAAACAUUUUAAAGAUAAUCCUGGAGGACGGCUAUUUUCAGAGUUAUUCAAUUUAUAUUGAUAGGUAUAUAGCGCGUAUAUAGGUAUAUAUUAUACGUUCAUAUUAUAGAGAUUCGAUGGAGAGAUAAGACAAAAGAGAAUUAGACACAAAUAAAUAAUUUCUCUAUAAUUAAA